UUCCCCUAKCAACUGCGAGUGAAGCGGGAAAAGCUCAAAUUUAAAAUCUGGCAGUCUUUGGCUGUCCGAGUUGUAAUCUGGAGAAGCGUCUUCCGCGCUGGACCGUGUACAAGUCUCCUGGAACGGAGCGUCGUAGAGGGUGAGAAUCCCGUCUUUGACACGGACUACCAGUGCUUUGUGAUGCGCUCUCGAAGAGUCGAGUUGUUUGGGAAUGCAGCUCAAAAUGGGUGGUAAACUCCAUCUAAAGCUAAAUAUUGGCGAGAGACCGAUAGCGAACAAGUACCGUGAGGGAAAGAUGAAAAGCACUUUGGAAAGAGAGUUAAACAGUACGUGAAAUUGCUGAAAGGGAAACGCUUGAAGUCAGUCGCGUUUAUUAGGACUCAGCCUUGCCUCGGCUUGGUGCAUUUCCUAGUAGACGGGCCAGCAUCACUUUUGGCUGCGGGAAAAAGGUUAGAGGAAUGUGGCACCUCCGGGUGUGUUAUAGCCUCUGGUUGUAUACCGUAGCUGGGAGUGAGGAACUCAGCACGCCUUCAUGGCGGGACUUCGGUCACCUUCGUGCUUAGGAUGCUGGCGUAAUGGCUUUAAACGACCCGUCUUGAAACACGGACCAAGGAGUCUAACAUGCCUGCAAGUGUUUGGGUGGAAAACCCGAGCGCGUAAUGAAAGUGAAAGUUGGGACCUCUGUCGUGGAGGGCACCGACGCCCGGACCAGACCUUCUGUGACGGAUCCGCGGUAGAGCAUGUAUGUUGGGACCCGAAAGAUGGUGAACUAUGCCUGAAUAGGGUGAAGCCAGAGGAAACUCUGGUGGAGGCUCGUAGCGAUUCUGACGUGCAAAUCGAUCGUCAAAUUUGGGUAUAGGGGCGAAAGACUAAUCGAACCAUCUAGUAGCUGGUUCCUGCCGA
rnacentral:rRNA from 1 species